ACCAAAACCCACAGUGACCAUUAAACCUGCUCGACAUGUAUUCAGAGGAGAGACAGUCACUCUCAGAUGUGACAUACAUAGUGAAGGAGUCACUACCUGGCAGUACGGCUGGUAUAAAGAAGAUUCAAGCCGUGUCAUCAGUGAACUACAGGAACUCACAUUCGUCCUGUUACUGAGUCUGACGCAGGUAAAUACUCCUGUAUUGGAGCAGACAGAGAAGGAUCACGCAUCUCAAUAUCAGUGAAGCAGUUACACUGACAGUAUCAGUUCCCAGAGCAGUGUUAAGUGUUUCUCCACAGAAGAGGCUGACUGAAGGAGAUUCAGUGACUCUGAUCUGUCAGGUUUACGGCUCCUCUACAGGCUGGACAUUCAGCUGGUUCACUGUAACUGCCUCAUCAGACAAAAGCAAUGGUUAUAAGCGGCUCUCAGACAGCAGCAGAGGAGCUGGAGGAAACUACACUGUCAGUUCUGCUGCUCUGAAACACACAGGAGUUUAUGUGUGCACAGCAGAGAGAGAGAAAACCAGUCUAUAACUCAGACAUCAGCAACACACAGCCACUAUGGGUCACUGGUGAGUUCAGACUGAACCACAGAAUGAAUGAGACACUCACUGCUCCUUGAUCUUUUUAGAGCUUGAUGUGUCUUGAAAUGUUGUCAUAAU